UACGUAGGGUGCGAGCGUUAAUCGGAAUUACUGGGCGUAAAGCGUGCGCAGGCGGUUUUGUAAGCCAGAUGUGAAAUCCCCGGGCUUAACCUGGGAAUGGCAUUUGGGACUGCAAGGCUCGAGUGCGGCAGAGGAGACUGGAACUCCUGGUGUAGCAGUGAAAUGCGUAGAUAUCAGGAGGAACACCGAUGGCGAAGGCAGGUCUCUGGGCUGACACUGACGCUCAUGCACGAAAGCGUGGGGAGCAAACAGG
rnacentral:rRNA from 1 species